rnacentral:snRNA from 1 species
GUUUAUGAAUCUGGAUGCACAUAUAGUAAAAUUGAAACUAUACAGAGAUCAGCUUAGCCCUGUGCAAAGAUGACAUGGCAAAUUUGUGAAGUGUUCAAUAUUUAA